AUUGAACGCUGGCGGCAGGCCUAACACAUGCAAGUCGAACGGUAGCAGGAAGAAGCUUGCUUCUUCGCUGACGAGUGGCGGACGGGUGAGUAAUGUCUGGGAAACUGCCUGAUGGAGGGGGAUAACUACUGGAAAUAGUAGCUAAUACCGCAUAACGUCGCAAGACCAAAGAGGGGGACCUUCGGGCCUCUUGCCAUCGGAUGUGCCCAGAUGGGAUUAGCUUGUUGGUGGGGUAACGGCUCACCAAGGCGACGAUCCCUAGCUGGUCUGAGAGGAUGACCAGCCACACUGGAACUGAGACACGGUCCAGACUCCUACGGGAGGCAGCAGUGGGGAAUAUUGCACAAUGGGCGCAAGCCUGAUGCAGCCAUGCCGCGUGUAUGAAGAAGGCCUUCGGGUUGUAAAGUACUUUCAGCGGGGAGGAAGGGAGUAAAGUUAAUACCUUUGCUCAUUGACGUUACCCGCAGAAGAAGCACCGGCUAACUCCGUG
rnacentral:rRNA from 1 species